rnacentral:lncRNA from 1 species
UCCUGCUAGAUUAUAAUACAUACCAUUUUUAUGAGAAGAUGAAAUGAGGAAAUGCAUUAUAAUCUGUUGGCUCCCCCCAAGCCGGGCCCCUCCCUCCACGCCAGCUCGCACCUCUUCUCCACCCGGUGCACCUGGGGCUGGCGCGGGCUCGGGACGCGUGCGGAGCGCCGCGAGCGCGGCGGAGGCAGAGGCGCGCUGACUGCCACCUCCAGCCCGCGCCCCAGGGACAGCUCGCGCGGAGCAACGGGCACCAUUCUCCGCGGCCGCUGCUCACGGCUGGCCGCGACCAUCGCCGCCGAAGCUACCGGCAGGCAGCCGUGCGUCCCCGGGACAGACAGCCCCGGAGGCUGCUCCUCCCGGAUGCCAGGGCCAGGGCGCCGGGCGGCGAGCAGCAGGAGGAUGAAGAGCUCAGCGGGAGGAAGGAGAGAAAAGCUCUUGGGGAUGCCUAAAGCUGAGCCCAGCCACGACCCAUUUACUUUGGAGGAGAGAAGAUUCUUUUUCACUCC